rnacentral:lncRNA from 1 species
UAAAAUGGUAAGUACAAGUAUCGUUUGCCCAAGAGACUCACGACACUAAACUAUUGUGCUUUUGCUUAACCAAUGAAGACUAUAAAAAUAAUAUUUUGGGAUUUUUAUAAAGUGCAGAAAAAUAAACAUGAAAGCAAUUUGAUCAAUUGAGGUUAAACACAAAAGUGGAUGGAUGAAUGGAGUUGUUGGGGGUUUACAAUUUCAUCUAAUUUGCUCUCUCUUAUCUACUCCUCUUGAAUUAUUAGUUUAAUUAAUUAAUUGUUAUGCGACUUUCUUAGCCUACCCUUAACCUGAUCCCUCGGCGAAAAGAGCCUAAUAUUAACUACUGGCUUGCUAUCCCUAGCCUCCCUUAGCAAUUAAUACCGCGUUAUAAACAGAAGUUAACACAAUUGAUCGUCCUACCCCUAUCCCUAGGUGGUAUUGCAAAAUCAAGAAAUUACUCACCAGUUCAUGUCAUUACUGUACGUCCCCAUAUCAAUAAAGACAAACAUCAGUUACCGAAUGAGUUAAACGAUAAAGGCCUUAAGCACAGAUGAGAA